AUGGAAGACUGGAUCUCGGAUGUUGAGGAAGUGAAACUACUCGAGGAUGUCAAGAAGAAGAUGGAAGAUGGUGUGGUGGAGGCACCAGAUUGGCUACCAGAUGGUUGGAUCAUGGAGGUUAGACGUGGUGACGAUGGUGCCCUCUAUCAGUAUUUCAUUUCUCCAGUGUCAGGGGCAAAAUUCACGAUGAAGUCCAAGGUCCUGGACUACCUUUUCUCUGAGAUGGAUGAGCACUACAUAGAAGCCAAUUAUUCUGUUGCUGAUAGCAUGCUUUCUAAGUCACAUGAAUGGCUUCCAAAGGGGUGGUUGGUCGAGAUCAGAGCUGGCGGCGAGAAUAUGGACAAGAUGUACAAGUUUUAUGUUUCUGCGGCAAUGGGAGUACGAUUGUUUUCUAAAGAAGAUGUACUACUCUAUGUUAAGGAAGGGAAGAUCUCCAGUUGUGAUAUUAAUGGACAAUGCGACACAAACUCUCGAGAUAAUAUCCUUGCAGAAGUGGAGUUCAACCCAUCUGAGCUGCCACAUGGCUGGGUGAAGGAAUUGGAAUACAGAAAAACAUUGGAACGAACAAGGAAAGACCAGUACUACACGGACCCUAUUAGCCAUUGUGCAUUCAGGACAUUGAAGUCUGCACUUCACUACGUUCAAACGGGAAAACUUACAAAACGAUCAUUUGUUCAAAGGACAAGUGUAGAUGAAUUGUACAAUUUUGAGAAGUCUGUUGAUCUGCAUGAGAGUUUCCGCAAAAGGCUUAUGAAAAAUGUGAUGACUAAUACAUCUCAAGCAAGUCCGUCGAUACCUAGAAGAUUAAAAAUUGGGAAAAAUAUAAAUCUCAAUGAGCGAAAUUUUAGUGUUUAUGGGGACAACAACACCUCUACAAACUUAGAUUCACCAGAUGAGAACCAAAAAAUCAAGAAGAAAAGCAUGAAGGCUAAUGGGAAAGAAGCAUACUCCUCCAAAACUAUAAGGCGUCCAACAGGGAGGCCAUCUGAAGUAGCGACGCAAACUGAUGGAGACAUAUAUGUGGAAUAAGAAUAG
rnacentral:rRNA from 1 species